rnacentral:lncRNA from 1 species
GGGGGUCCGUGAAGAGUCCUGCCUGGAAGACACUGUCUUUCCCCAGUGAGCCCAGAGAGGCCUGGCAUGGGUGUGGGCUGCUCUUGCCCCGGUAAGGGCAGGCACAUUUGCGAUGCAGUCCUGUAUUCCAACAGGCAAGGUCAGCCCAGUCGUGGGAACACUCCCGACAACAGAAAGCGUCUGGGGAGCCAGGAAUGGAGCCCUUUUCACUGAUCUGCUGGAGUCUUCACUGUAGCAGCACCGCUUACAUUGUCCUUCUGCUUCCUCGGCCUUCCCACCUCCUGUGCUCAAGACCACAGUAUGAGGCAUGUGCAGAAGAUCCAGUUCACAAAACUCCAUCAUAGAAAUGAGCCCAGAAGAGCAGACAGUUGGAUGUGCUUAGUGUCACCUUCUGGCUUUCCUAUUAAAUAGAAUCUGAGUAACAGACAAAGGAAACAAAAGUGAAAGACAUCAGAGAAGCCCAAAGGAACUACUUGAUGGAACAAACAAAUAAAAACAUGGGGCAAGAAGUAAUGGGAAGAAAGGCGGAAGAGUCGUACAGGCUGGGUUUCCAGGAAGGACCUCAGGAAUAGCUGGAGUUUCUGUGUAUAGGGUGAUGUAUACAGACAGUUUUAAAGAUGAUUUCCAUGAUAUGAAGAGUGUCUAGACUUCCAUAAAAACUCAUGAAAAUGGAUAAAGACUCAAAUUUUAUUGGUUAUAUAUUCUAUUGUACUGUUAUUAUUAUUGUUUUUGUAUUUUAAUAAGUAGGAAAACAAAAUAUUAGUCAUGACAACUUGAAUUUCUGCUUAUACUCAGCUAUUCAUCCUGUGUCUAGAUGUCCUGCCAAAGCCUC